AUAGAUAGAAACUCAGAGUGACAGAGACGGAGAGCAGGAGAGACAGAGAGAGAGAAAGAGAGAGAGAGAGAGAGAAAACCUUUCUGACACAGUACAUUACCACCAAUAGCUCAGUGGAAGUCAAUUUAUUUCAGAAACUUGGAGUAAGGAAGACGGAAAACAGGAGAGAGAAAAA